CCCCUAGAUGUUCUGGGCCGCACGCGCGCUACACUGAACAGUUCAACAAGUCUUAACCUUGGCCGAUAGGUCUGGGUAAUCUUUGAACGUGAAUCGUGAUGGGGAUAGAUGAUUGCAAUUAUUCAUCUUCAACGAGGAAUUCCUAGUAAACGCAAGUCAUCAGCUUGCAUUGAUUACGUCCCUGCCCUUUGUACACACCGCCCGUCGCACCUACCGAUUGAAUGGUCCGGUGAAAUCUUCGGAUCUGAGAGAUGUCUGAUUAAUUUCGGACGCCUUUUGGAAAAGUUGUUUAAACCUUACCAUUUAGAGGAAGGUGAAGUCGUANCA
rnacentral:rRNA from 1 species